rnacentral:snRNA from 1 species
GUGCUCACUUCAGCAGCACAUAGAGUAAACCUGGAAUGAUACGGAGAUUAGCAUGGCCCCUGCGCAAGGAUGACACGCAUGUUUGUGAAGUGUCCCAUGUUUUU